GCUGCCAUGUUACUACCUUGAUGAUAAUGGACUGAAGCUCUGAACCUGGUUCAAACUCAGCUCUGCCACCCGAAGCAUGGGAGUGAACUCACGCUCUUUGUAAGUGGAAACUCCGGGAGAAGAACUCCAGCUGCCUGUGUCUUCUAUUCUGCAGGCCUGGCUGACUGCCUGCAGACAUGUCACAGAGAGGUCAAUCAAUGUACAAGGCCUACCAUGAGACCCUUUGCUGAGACUCAAAGCCUGCGUGGAAUGCCUCUGCCUCAGGCACAUAAAGGUUCACUCCUGAGGAGAGACUGCAACUUGUAGUCCCUCAGUGGUGCACCACAAAAGCCCCCUCUACACUACAAAGGCCACAAAGCAGUGGCAGGCCCCUCCUUCCCACCCCAGCCUACAGCCAGGUGAGAUGCCCCUGCUGGAGCUGUCAAAAGUGGUGAUGUCUGUCAAAAUGGCCGCACUGCAACAUCUCAGCCUGCAACUGUUCUAGGAGCUGUCCAAGGUGGUGCAUCUCCUUUCCCACAUCAGCUCAUAAAAACACCAAGGCAAGACCAGUCCCACAAGUGCUGUCCACAGUGGCAGUACCACCCCUCCAGCCACCCUCCCACCCCGCAGCCCCACAGAGAUGAUGCCUCAUCAAAAGUCAGCUGUAGCAGGGCAGUGGUAGUGCAUGCCUUUAAUCCUAGCACUUGGGAGGCAGAGGCAGGUGGAUUUCUGAGUUCGAGGCCAGCCUGGUCUACAGAGUGAGUUCCAGGACAGCCAGGGCUAUACCCUGUCUCGGGGAGAGGGUGGGGAAGUUGGCUGUAGCUGGGAAGGACUUCCCACCCUAAACCAAGGGCCUGAUACAGGAAAAAGGAGGUGAAAAAAAGCCACCAAUCCCUAAGCAGGAAAACUCACCAAUCCCUAAGCUACACACACACACACACACACACACACACACACACACACACACACACAAUCCUUGAGCACAAAAACCCACCAAUCCCUGAGCCCCUUCCAAGCUCAGGACAUGAAAUCCCACCAAUCCUCACUUUGGAAAUCUCUGCCCUGAGAAGCUCCGGCUCCUCUGAAAUCCUAUAUAAGCACUGCCCCUUUGUCCAAUACCCUGGGAGCAGAGGACAGCCAUCCCUGGAUUUGUCCCUCCACACCCUGGUCCCUCUAAUACAUCUCUUUCAUGA